UCCCUCUUAGCUCAGUUGGUAGAGCGCGUCACUAGUAUGCCUACACCUGAGCGAAGUUUAUGACGAGGUCAGUCGUUCAAGUCGGCUAGCGGGAA